AUUGAACGCUGGCGGCAUGCCUUACACAUGCAAGUCGAACGGCAGCACGGGUGCUUGCACCUGGUGGCGAGUGGCGAACGGGUGAGUAAUACAUCGGAACGUACCUUAUCGUGGGGGAUAACGCAGCGAAAGCUGUGCUAAUACCGCAUACGCCCUGAGGGGGAAAGCGGGGGAUCGCAAGACCUCGCGCGAUUAGAGCGGCCGAUGCCUGAUUAGCUUGUUGGUGGGGUAAAAGCCCACCAAGGCGACGAUCAGUAGCUGGUCUGAGAGGACGAUCAGCCACACUGGGACUGAGACAGGGCCCAGGCUCCUACGGGAGGCAGCAGUGGGGAAUUUUGGACAAUGGGGGCAACCCUGAUCCAGCAAUGCCGCGUGAGUGAAGAAGGCCUUCGGGUUGUAAAGCUCUUUUGUCAGGGAAGAAACACCGGCUCUAACACAGUCCGGGAAUGACGGUACCUGAAGAAUAAGCACCGGCUAACUACGUGCCAGCCGCCGCAGUAA
rnacentral:rRNA from 1 species